AGUUUACUAUUGGAGCGGUUAGUGGCGGACUGGUGAGUAACACGUAAGCAACCUGGCUAUUAGAGGGGAACAACAGUUAGAAAUGACUGCUAAUACCGCAUAUGCCUUAAUCAUCACAUGGUGAUAGAGGGAAAGGAGAAAUCCGCUAAUAGAUGGGCUUGCGUCUGAUUAGAUAGUUGGUAGGGUAAUGGCCUACCAAGUCUACGAUCAGUAGCCGGACUGAGAGGUUGAACGGCCACAUUGGGACUGAGAUACGGCCCAGACUCCUACGGGAGGCAGCAGUCGGGAAUAUUGCGCAAUGGAGGAAACUCUGACGCAGUGACGCCGCGUGCAGGAAGAAGGUUUUCGGAUUGUAAACUGCUUUAGACAGGGAAGAUAAUGACAGUACCUGUAAAAUAAGCUCCGGCUAACUACGUGCCAGCAGCCGCGGUAAUACGUAGGGAGCGAGCGUUAUCCGGAUUUAUUGGGUGUAAAGGGUGCGUAGACGGGAUAACAAGUUAGUUGUGAAAUCCCUCGGCUUAACCGAGGAACUGCAACUAAAACUAUUAUUCUUGAGUAUUGGAGAGGAAAGUGGAAUUCCUAGUGUAGCGGUGAAAUGCGUA
rnacentral:rRNA from 1 species